ACAGUGACAGUCUUCUCAGAGUCUGUGAGCAUAAGAGGCAGCUGUCCUCUGGAAUGCUAUUCCCCAUCCCCAAGAUUCAUAUGGCUCCCACUCUAAUGAUGUUUCCACAAGUUACUGAAACCCUGGCUGUUUUCCCAGGCCUUGAAGAAGGAUGGCUUACUGAGCCCAAAAUCUGUAAUUGGCUUCCAAGAAAGAAUGAAAAGAUGUCAAACUGCUUACAUUAAAAAAGAUAAAGAAAAAUUUAAGCCAAGAAUUGUUAAGAAAACUGGAUGAAGUUUUGACAGAUUUUAUCUUAACAACUCUUGUGACAACCAGACCCUUGCGGGAGUUGAAAUUCUGAUAAAGGAAAAGCUGGAAUUUGAUGACAUCAAUGCCUAAGCAUUAAGGAGUCUCUUGCUCUCUGGCGCUAAUGAGUAAACUGUCAGUUAUCACAAGUGACAAACUUAAUAGUAAGAGUUAGCAAAAUAUUGAUUAAAACAAAAGGUAGGAAUUUUUGUUGCUAAUUUA